rnacentral:tRNA from 1 species
GCCGAGGUGGCAGAGCGGACUAAUCUGACGGCAAAGCGGCCCCGGAGUCCAAACGCGACCGGCUCGAGACCGGUUUCUCUGAAAAGAGUGCUUGGGUUCAAAUCCCAACCUCGGCG